rnacentral:rRNA from 1 species
GACAGAGGGUGCAAACGUUGCUCGGAAUUACUGGGCGUAAAGCGCGUGUAGGCGGUGCCGCACGUCCGAUGUGAAAGCCCGGGGCUCAACCCCGGACGUGCAUUGGAUACGACGGCGCUGGAGUCCUGAAGAGGAGGGCGGAAUUCCCGGUGUAGAGGUGAAAUUCGUAGAUAUUCGCAAGAACACCAGUGGCGAAGGCGGCUCACUGGCCCGGUACUGACGCUGAGGUGCGAAAGCGUGGGGAGCAAACAGG